AUACUUACCUGGCAGGGGAAAUACUGUAAUGGAGUAGGUGGUUCACCAAGGCAAAGGUCAGCCAUUGCACCCCUGCGACCCCUGUGACCCCGGCUGUGCAGACUCCUGCAAAUUCCCCAAAUAUCAAUAUUAAUAAUUAAUAAUAUUAAUAUUAUUGCCCAAAAAUACUGCAUAUUUUCUAGUAGUGGGGGACUGCGUUCAUGUUCAUGUUCCUU
ensembl:snRNA U1 U1 spliceosomal RNA